UACGGAGGGUGCGAGCGUUGUCCGGAAUCACUGGGCGUAAAGGGCGCGUAGGUGGCCCGUGGAAGUCUGCGGUGAAAGCCCGGCGCUCAACGCCGGGUCGGCCGUGGAUACUCUCGGGCUUGAGCUUACUAGAGGCAGAUGGAAUUCCGGGUGUAGCGGUGGAAUGCGUAGAGAUCCGGAAGAACACCGGUGGCGAAGGCGGUCUGCUGGGGUAAUGCUGACACUGAUGCGCGAAGGCGUGGGGAGCGAACGGG
rnacentral:rRNA from 1 species